rnacentral:rRNA from 1 species
UAGCGAAGGGGGCUAGCGUUGCUCGGAUUGACUGGGCGUAAAGGGCGCGUAGGCGGUUCGUACAGUCAGACGUGAAAUUCCUGGGCUCAACCUGGGGGCUGCGUUUGAUACGUGCGGACUUGAGUGCGGAAGAGGGUCGUGGAAUUCCCAGUGUAGAGGUGAAAUUCGUAGAUAUUCGGAAGAACACCAGUGGCGAAGGCGGCUCACUGGACUGGUAUUGACGCUGAGGUGCGAAAGCGUGGGGAGCAACAGG